rnacentral:lncRNA from 1 species
CAAGCAUAGGUCAUUGUGUGCCAUAUGGGUUGGUUGUCCUCUUAACCAAGGAGUGUGGAGACACUGGUAUGGCAUACAGAUGAGAUGUAAGGGUGCAUCUGCACUGAACGUGACCGACUUCGGAGCUUUAUCUACUGUCAAGAUUUGCUCCGAUGGGAUAUGGGUAUAAAUGUCCCUCCGAUCUGAGACCGCCACGGUGACUUGUAAGCAACUCACUGCACUUAGGCA